rnacentral:tRNA from 1 species
AAGUCCGUAGCUCAGUUGGCUAGAGCAGCAAACUGUUAAUUUGAAGGUCGCGGGUUCAAACCCCGCCGGACGCU